rnacentral:misc_RNA from 1 species
AAAGUCGAACAAGGUUUCCGUAGGUGAACCUGCGGAAGGAUCAUUAAAAAAUUGGACUCCAUUGGUGAGUUCAUUAAUAAUCCCUACCCUUUGUGAAUUUGUUUGUUUGAAUAAUUUUUUUUCCAAAAAAAAUUAUUGAAUGUCUUUCCUUGUUUUGGUGGAGCUUGUAAAGUGAAACCAGGCAGGGGAAUGGCAAACAAUAAUUAUUUUUGAAAAAGACCUUUUUUUAAAAUUAAACUUUUUGUAUUCAUUUGUCUAAAAUUAAUUUUUAUAAUAUAAAAACAACUUUUGACAAUGGAUCUCUUGGUUCUCGCAACGAUGAAGAACGCAGCAAAAUGCGAUAAGUAGUGUGAAUUGCAGAAUACGUGAAUCAUCGAAUCUUCGAACGCAUAUUGCACUUUUUUAGUUUACUAAAAAGUAUGUCUGUUUGAGUAUCAGUAAAAUAUUCUCAUAAAAAACAUUGUUUUUUUUAUGGUUAUGAGUGUUUUACAACGAUAACAAGUUGUUUCACUUUAAAUUCUUUGUUAUCAAAAAAAUCAUUAAAAGCUAAUUUUAAAGAUUUUUUAAAAUUGGAUAAAAUUUUCCCGUAAAAAGGAAUAACCUAAACAAUUUUAAAAAAUUAAAAUUGGUUUGAUUUUUUUUGAAACCCAAAGGAAAAAAAAACGAAAUUAACUUGAUCUCAAAUCAGAUAAGAGUACCCGCUGAACUUAAGCAUAUCAAUAAGCGGAGGAAAAGAAACUAACUAGGAUUCCCUCAGUAACGGCGAGUGAAGCGGGAAGAGCUCAAAUUUGAAAUCUUCAAGGUUUUACCUUGACGAAUUGUAGUUUAAAGAAGUGUUUUCUGUUGGAGUUUUGGUAAAAGUUCUUUGGAGAAGGACAUCAUAGAGGGUGAGAAUCCCGUAUUUGACCAUUAUCUCCAGCUUUGUGAUACACUUUCAAAGAGUCGGAUUGUUUGGGAAUGCAGUCCAAAAUGGGUGGUAAAUUUCAUCUAAAGCUAAAUACUGGCGAGAGACCGAUAGCGAACAAGUACCGUGAGGGAAAGAUGAAAAGAACUUUGAAAAGAGAGUUAAACAGUACGUGAAAUUGUCAAAAGGGAAGCGUUUGACACCAGUGUUGUUUUCUCGAAAAUCAAUUAAAAAAGGCCGGAUUUUGUGUCGUAUUGACUUUAUCAGCUUUCUGCACUCUUUUCUUGUCUUUUUUAAUGCACUUUUCGUUUAACAAGUCAACAUCAAUUUCUUUUGUUGUAAAAGGGUCAUUGGAAGGUGGCUUUCUUUUCGGAGAAAGUGUUUAUAGCCUUUGGCCUCUGCAAUCGGAGAGAUUGAGGUCUGCAGCGUAGAUCCUUCGGGGUUAGAUACAUUUGUGCUAAGUUAUAGCCUUUCAUAGACAACUUGUUGACUAUGAUCAGUCAUGUAGCUUACUCGCUUAUGCUAUUUUACCUACGCUUAGGAUGUUGAG